CCGCGUGAAGGAUGAAGUAUUUCGGUAUGUAAACUUCUUUUGUCUGGACGUAAAAAAUGGACGGUACCAGGCGAAUCCAGCAUCCGGCUAACUACGUGC
rnacentral:rRNA from 1 species